GUUGUCGGCCAUAUUUCUUUGAAUGCACCAGAUCCCAUCCGAACUCUGAAGUUAACUUAAGGAAAGGUCAGCUAGUACUGGCAUCGGAGACGAGCUGGAAACCACUGACUGCUGACAGCU
rnacentral:rRNA from 1 species